GGAACCUCGGUUCUGUUUUUCAAAGCUAACGCAUUAAGUAGACCGCCUGGGGAGUACGGCCGCAAGGUUAAAACUCAAAUGAAUUGACGGGGGCCCGCACAAGCGGUGGAGCAUGUGGUUUAAUUCGAUGCAACGCGAAGAACCUUACCUACACUUGACAUACAGAGACUUACCAGAGAUGGUUUGGUGCCUUCGGGACUCUGAUACAGUGCUGCAUGCUGUCGUCAGCUCGUGUGUGAGAUGUUGGGUAAGUCCCGCACGAGCGCAUCCUAUCUAGUGCUAGCAGUAUGCUGAGACUCUAGAGACUGCGUGAUAACCGAGGAAGGUGGGACGACGUCAGUCAUCAUGCCUUCCUGUAGGCUCACACGUGCUACAUGGGCCAUACAGAGUGCUGCAACUGCGAAGUAGCGAAUACCUAAUGCCGCUGAUCCGUAUGGAUGCACUGACUUUGAAUCGAAUUCUGAAAUCGUG
rnacentral:rRNA from 1 species